GCCUGGGUGGCUCAGUUGGUUGAGCAUCUGACUUUGGCUCAGGUCAUGAUCUCGUAGUUCAUGAGUUCGAACCCCAUGUCGGGCU
rnacentral:tRNA from 1 species